AAUAGUUUGGUGGAAUAAAGUAAAUAUUUAUUUUAAUUAAAUUUUUUAAGUAAGAAAUUAAAGGUAAAAUUUUUAUUUUUUUAAAUUAAAAAUUAUGAUGAAAUUUAUUAUCUUUAAAAAUAAGGAUUUAAACUAGGAUUAGAUACCCUAUUAUUCUUUAUUAUAUUAAUUGCCAGGGUAGUAAAAUUUUUUAAACCUAAAGAAUUUGGCGGUACUUUAUUCUUACUGGAGGAACCUGCUCCUGGAUCGAUAAUCCACGUUUAAAUGUACAUGUUUUGGUUUUCAGUUUGUAUACCGCCGUUGUCAGAUUAUUUUUAAAAAAUAUAAUCUAAUUAAUAGUUAAUUAGGACUUCAGGUCAAGGUGCAGCUUAUAAACAUGGGGGUAGUGGGUUACAAUAAAUUAAAAUUACAUGGAUUAAUUAGUGUAAAUUAGUUAUGAAGGUGGAUUUAGUAGUAAAUUAAGAAUAAAAUUCUUUUUUGAAAUGAGCUCUGAAGUGUGUACACAUCGCCCGUCGCUCUCUCCCUUA
rnacentral:rRNA from 1 species